CUGGAGAGAUGAGUGGAUUAGAUGAAUGGGUGGGUGGGUGGAUGGAUGGAUGGAUGGAGAGAUGAGUAGACUGGAUGAAUGGGUGGGUGGAUGGAUGGAUGCAUGGAUGGAGAGAUGAGUGGACUGGAUGAACGGGUGGAUGGAUGGAUGGAUGCAUGGAUGGAGAGAUGAGUGGAUUGGAUGAAUGGGUGGAUGGAUGGAUGGAUGGAGAGAUGAGUGGACUGGAUGAAUGCAUGGAUGGAGAGAUGAGUGGACUGGAUGAAUGGGUGGGUGGAUGGGUGGAUGGAUGGAUGGAUGAAUGGAUGAAGGAUGGGGGGAUGAACAGAUUAAUGAGGAAGUGGUAUCUAGUCUCCAUCUUCCAUUAAGCACCUACUAUGCGUCAUGCACAAUGCAACAGGCUUUGCCAGCUGUGACCCUAAUGGAGGUCUCUUCUGAACCAUGCGGAGACCUGUGAGUGGAACAGAAUUAGCGUGAACUAGUCUGCCGGGCAAAUGACAUGGGAUCUGUUUGGAAACUGUCCCUUCUGCUGCCUUUCCAUGAUCACACUUCUUCCCACAAGCCCUGAAAAUGUUUAUGUUCAUAACUGCCUCCUCCAACAGCAACAGAAGUGGGGGCUGGGCAUGUCCCUCCCCUCUGGGAUCCUAACACAGCCCCUGGGGUGGAUGAGGGGAGGCUAAGGCUCCACACUUCCUGAUCAGAUGAGAAAAUCUCUGCCUCUAACUUGGCAUUUUCAUUGUGCAGUCAGCCAGGCAGGAAGGUUGCUGCUGCUGCUGCCAGUGCCUCUAGGGCUGACCUGCCUACCAUAGGAGGCAGGCACUAUUACUGCUCCCAUUUUACAGAUGUGGUCGCUGAGGCCCAGAGGACUGACAAAGCCUGCCAGCUAGAAGGUGCUGGGCGGGGAUAGGUCCAGGGCCUGGACCCUUCACCACUGCAUGGUGCCCUGGGCCCCCACAGCAAGGGCAGUGUCAGUAAGUUGGGGGCUGUAACUGGGUAAGACCAGAUCUCCCGAAGGUGAGAUCACAGGCCUUCCCUCCCACAGCUGUUCAUGAUGAUGGUGGUGAGGUAGAAUGGGUUGGGACUGGAGACAUCAGCGGGGGGUUGGGAAGACCCAUUCAUAGGGUUCUCAGAGGGCGUUCUCCUCUCUGGCUGAGCCUUGGGAUGGUACCUGGCCGGCUUCACAGUGGCCACCUGGAGGUCUGCAAUAAGGUCCCCCUCUCUGUGGGUGUAAGGAGACUCAGCCCCCGGGGAAUAGACUUCACCCCUCCCACAGCCUGCCCCGUUCUACAGAUGAGGAAACAAGUCCAGAGAGGUGGAGUCAGGUGUCGCAAACCACACCACCUGAAGUGACAGAGUGGUGAUUCCGACCUGAUGGCCCUUGCCUACACACGGUGCUCUGGCUAUUCUGUGGGAUCGGGGUGUGCCAGCCACGGUGCCUGACUGCCCUUACCUUAUCCGGGAGGAAGAGGAUGUUCCCCAGGCCCUGCAGACUGGACACGUGGACCUCGGGGCUGGGGUCCCAGAGGCCGCGUGUCAGCAGGUCAAGGCAGCCGUUUGGGAAGCACCUCCAGCAGGGGAGGGCUGUAGAGGAACUAGGGUGGCCCCUGGGAGGGCAGGCAGGUCACUCUUUUGUGAGGUGUCUGCAUCUGUGUUGAGGAGUGGGGCUCUAGGUCCAGGGUCCGGUUGGGAGUUUCAGAGAGGGAAGCUGACCAGUACCCUUUGGGUAUCUUAGUUAACAAGUAUUUGGUACCUGGUUCAACCCCUUCAUGUACAGCUGGGGAAACUGAGCCCCAGAAAGAGAAAGGGCCUUGCCUGAAGUCACACAGCCAGGCGAGGCCUCACUUGUAUCAUGAGUCAGGCUUGUGGGGUACUUGGGGAUAGAGCUCCCAUGGAGGGUGGCCCAGGCGGCUGGUGGGAGCUGGCAUGAGGCUUUCGCUUGGGUUCCCCUACUGGUAUUACUUAUGGAAAAGGCACGCUCCUUGCCCCAGCCCCCCACCCUCUGCCUGAGCUUGCAGCUGCAAAGCAUGCCACCCCCAGUGUCGUCUGCUUCUACCCAUCCAUUCCCCUUUGGCUUCACCGUGAGUUGCACAGGCAGGACAGGGCUGGUUGGAGCCUGAGUCUGCACCCAGUGCCCCUUCAACUCUGCAGCGAUUGUGCCAGGGAGGGCUGAGUGGGAAGACAGGUCCCCCAAAGGCUGCGGCCCCCUCCAGGGGCUGGGAGUGGGAAGGCAGGGGUGCAAGGGGGUCUGUCUGGGCAGCCGCCCUGGUCAGGCCGAGCUUUGGUGUGUGUUCUGCUGGGGUGUCAAGGAGGCUGGAGGAAUUAGAGUGAACUAGGCUCAGGCAUCUGAGGUGCUCCCUGCCUGCAUGCGCCCUACCUCAGUGAGGAUGAGGAUGGCCGCCUUCCUCUCCCGCUCCUCUGGGCUCUGCAGCCUGGGCAGCAGCUGGCGCAGCACCGCCUUGAGCUGCCUGCAGUGGUUCUGCACCGUGGCCCUGCAUGGGAGGACCUGGGCUGGGGUCACUGCCUGGAGCCCACCUUCCCUCACCCAUCCCAUUGGGCCCAGCGUCUAGAAAAGUCCCAACGUGGUAGGCAUGUUCCCACUCCCUUUGUACCCACUGGCUGCCCACUGCAUGCCAGGCCUGGGCUGGACAUGGGGGAGAAGGAGAUGCAGGCACAACCCUUGUCCCCUAGACAGCCUUGGGCCAGGGUGAGGGCUGGGGGAAUCAAAAGGCUCUGGGUGUGUGCCUGUGAUGGAGGGCAGGGGGCUGUGUCCCAUGUCCCGUGUCUCUUCACUGCAGUCCAGAUACCCAGCCCCCUGGAUGGGCGUGGCCUGACGCAGGCUGCCUCCACCUGCCCUGGUCCCACCGUAGCUGGCGAGGAGGCCCACGCCCUUCGGGCACGUGUGGAUGGUGGUGAAGAGCUCCCGGGAACCCUGCAGCUCCAGAUGGGCAAAGUCAUGCCAGUGUCCUGUGGUGGACAGCAGGCUCUUCAGCGCCUCCAGGGACAUGCUGCAGCUGAGCAGAGGGGGUUCAGGGCCUUGGCCACAAGUGGCCACCUGGGCCACCCCCUGCCCUGGGAAGGGUGCCCAGCUGACCCAGAUAGGAAGCCACAUUCUGGUUCCUGUGCCUGACGUCACUGAGGGCCCCAGGGCUGCCCUCUCCUGCCCUGCUUUGCACAGAAAUGCGGGGGCCUAGGAUUGGCGGGGCUGGGACAGGCACGGGGAGGAAGCAUGUGCCCACUCAGACCUGGGUCUUGCUUAAGCAGGAGACCGGGAGUGCCCUUCUAGGGAGGGGCAGGGUUCAGCUCGAGGAUGGCAGCAUUUAAAUAUGGGCGAAGGGUACAGAGGGUGGCAGCAGAUGAAGGUGUGGGAGAGCUAGGAAGUGUGGCAUGGCGGAGCCAGGGAAGUGUCCAUCCUCCCCUCCCGAGACUCCGCUGCCCUCAGUGGACACGGAGAAGCCAGCGGCACGGCCCUUGCUUGUGUGUGACGUACAAAGAUGCUGUGUGUGGCUUGUGGUGUUGCUGUGUGCUUGGUGGCUGCCAGGUGCCAUGGACGGUGCCUCACCUGCCCAGCCUGAGGUGGGACUCUACUGUCAUUCUCCUUCAGCAGAGGAGGGAGCGGUCUGGAGAGGUGACACAUCCUGGCACACAGCCUGGCCAGGGGUGCAGAGGUGGGGUCAAGUUGGGCCCUGGCUCCAAACCUGCCAGUGAUGUGACUGUCACAGGAUGUCACUGUCACUGAACGCAGUCCCUGGGGCACAGAUAGGAAGCCCCAGCAUGCAGGCUCAUGACACAUGAGAUGGCCCUGGCUUGCUGGCUUGUCUGUCUGUUCCAGCCACCUCCCCAGCUCGGUCAGUGUGAGGGCAUCACCCUGGAUGUGUGAGCACGCCCGGGUGGACGAGGCCAUCAGCUUGAACCAGGCACGUUUCUGAGCAGAUUUGCAAAACCAAGUGUCAAAUGAUGAAAUGCCAUCCAUGAAAGUUCUGAUGGUGCCAAUCCAAAUUCCAGCUGGCUUGUCCUCUUGCCCUUAGCUGUGUCAUAAAAAGAGGCAGCAUUUUCCAGGUCACUGGUCUCAGCCACAAAGUGACAGUUGUUUUCAGAAGAAGGGGACUUGGUGGGGGGGGGGUGGCAUUUUGUUUGGUCCAGGAUUCCAGAAGCUUCUGGUCCUGUGGCUUCUUGGGCACUGGAUGGUUUGUUCUUUGAGAUUGCCUUGUCCCUGCAGCCACAGGAGGGCUUCUGGAAAGAUGGGCUGAUUUUAGCAUUCUUGGGAAUCCACGUCCAACUCCCCUGCAGGUCCGUAAACCUGCAGACCACCUCCAGCCCAGGACCCCCGGCCAUGCUCAGGGAGAAAGCCAUGUGUAGCACCAAGGCCAAUGAAGGCAGAGCCCCUUGAAUCUAUGCCUGGCCGCAGACAAGGAAACAUCUCCGUUCCUCUGGUCCCAGCGUUGCUGCCUGCCUUCAGCCUUUUUAGACACUUGGCAUCCCAGUGACGCCUGCCCCAUACCCGACCAACCCCCUUUCCUCACUCUGCUCCCAGAGGGCAAAGGCACCUGAGAAAGAGGAGGCAAAGCCCCUCUGCUUUCCACACUCCUCCCCAGCCUGGGGGUCCAUGAGACCCCCUUCCCUCUCCCACACUUUCCUCUUCUGGUUUUAUUUUUAAUUGUGGUAAUAUACACAUCUCAUAAAAGUUACCAUUUUAAGUGUACAGGUCAGGGCAUUGAGCACAUUCAAAUAUUGGGCAACCAUCACCCCCAUCCAUCCCCAGAAUGUUCUCAUCUGCUCACACUGAAAGCUUGUCCCCAUUAAACUCCCCACUCUCCCUUUGCCCAGUCCCUGGCACCCAGCAUUCUACUUUCUGUCUCUAUAGAUUUGGCAACUCAUGGACCUCCAGUAAGUGGACUCAUACAGUAUUUGACUGGCUUAUUUCACUCAGCAGAAUGUGCUCAAGGUUCAUCCACGUUGUAUCAGAAUUUCCUUCCUUUUCAAGGCUGAAUAGUAUUCCAUUAUUUGGGUGGACCAGCCUGCUUACCUGUUCACCCACUGAUGAACACUUGUGUUGCUUCUAUCUUUGGGUUAUUGUGAAUAGCACUGCUGUGAGCAGGGUGUGCAAAUAUCUGUCCCAGGUGCCUGCUUUCCUUUCUUUUGGGUGUAAACUCAUUAGUGGAAUUCCUGGGCCAUAUGGUAAUUCCACAUGUAAGUUUUUGAGGAACUUCCAAACUAUUCCAAAGGAGCUGCACUGUUUUACAUUCCCACCAGCAGUGCACAAGGCUUCCAAUGUCUCCACAUCCUCGCCAACAUUCAUUUUCUGAUUUUUCUUUUUUUUGGACAGUAGUCAACCUAAUGAGCGUGAAGUUCCUCUUCUUCUUUUGAUCACAAGCUUUUGCCCCCAAAUCCCCGGGGGACAGAUGGAAAGAUGAAGAUGAGAUGAGGGCGAGGAUGAUGAAUGUCUUCCAAAUAAAGAGAAACGAUGUAGCCCAUUAGAAUUAACGAGUUGGCCCACAUGGAUGACAUGUGAGAGCAAUGAGAAUUCCUUUGUGGAGCAGGGCGGAGACUGGCUGGAGGUGGACCCAGCUGAGAACUGACCGACUUAGGAAACGUCUCUAAGGAAAAGGCUUUGUGAGUGGAGGAGCAGGGGAGAGGAAGGCCCCUCCAGCCAGCUUGGCAGCCCCUGUUGAAGCCCUGCCCAGGGAAGGGUGACCUGCCCAACCCCACUUGCCGCUCGCUGGUCGCAGAGGCCCAUCCAUCUAAGCAGGACAUGAGACCGUCAGAGGCCCAGGACUAGCCCCACCAGUCCUCAAGACUCGCUUGCUGCCCCACAGUGUCCUGUGCUGGGCAUGCAGAUCCAGAUGCUGCGCAUCCAGAUGCCCUUCUGGGCCCCUGUCCCCACCUUGAUGGUGCCACAGCAGCCUGGCAGGGACUUCAGACCCCUGGCCACUGGGAUACACCAGGGUGAUACUGUGCUCUCAGGACCCCCAGUCUCCAUGGUGGCACGGCAGCUGAUUGGGCAAUUGGAGCCUGGGCCCCUGCGUGGGCGGGGGCUUCCCAGGCAGGUUCCGUUCCCUGGGCCAGUCAGAGGCCGUGGGAGCCGGGCCUGGCCAAUCAGAGCCGCACAGGCCCCUGUGGCCAGAGUGAUUGGUUCAGGGGUGGGCAUGUGACCCAAGCUAGGCCAAUCAGAGCCAAGGACUGUGCCUGUGGUGAGAGUUUCUCCUCUUCGGGCUGCAGGGGCCACCUUCAGGGUUCCGGGGGUACCCGCCCGGAGAGCGGCCAGCCGGUAGGGCGGAGCGGCCUGAGCGGAAACCACCCGUGGCUCCGCGUGAGGCACAUAUCCCUGCUGUGUGGGGGCCCCCAGUGAGACGCCCAGGUGUGUGUGUGGGGGCCCAGUGAGACAGACAGACAUCCCUGCUCUGGGGGGGAACCCGCGAGAGACAGAUGUCCCUGGCUCUUCAGGAUCUUCCAGUCUAUGGGUGCAGUUAGUAAAGCAGAUCUCAUCUCUGCUGUUCCCCACCCUGCCUCAUGCCCCAGGAGGCUGACCUGUAUAGACUCCAUCAAGAGACUCUCCUGAGCUUUGGCUUCCAGUUGACUUGGCUAACGGCUACUGGGGAGCUCGGUGAAAACUCAGACCUGACCCUGCCACGUAGCAUGAUGGCCAGGCCUGCAGAGCUGGACAGCCCGAACUUCUCGCUGGCUCUCAAGGUCGGCAGGGAGGGAGGGAGGGUCAGAGGCAGGAUUGACAAACGUGAAGAUAAACAUUUUAAAAAGCUUGUUCAGCAAAAUUGCUGUCAAUCAAGUUGAAAGAUGAGGUGAAGUUUUGUUUUGAGUUUUGUUGCUGUCUAUUGCCAAGGGUUAACACCCGAGAUCAACAACCCCCACUUUAUAAAUCAAUAAGAAGGCGACAAACGAGACAUGGUAAAAUGAUCAGGAGAUGUGCACAGAAGAUACUGUGCAUGCAACCUCGCUAAUACUCACGGAAUGAAAACUAAUGCAAUGCUUUGACUAAGACUGGCAAAAAGUCGAACACCGACUAUCAGCAAGCAGGUGUCCUGUGGUGGGAGAGUGAAUGGAUCUGCAGUUUUGGAAGAUUCUGUCAAUCUCAAUUAAAAGGCAAUAUCGAUAUCAAAGCUUAAGAUAUACAGUUUUCCCAAGCAACUCCAUUUCUAGAAGUCUGUCCUAAAGGAAAACUGAAUUCAUGAUGCCGGGAGCAGGAGGAGCAUCUGGUGCUGCAGAAGACAUAGGUGGGACUGUUUCCACCCUCCUUGGGGUUGAUCCCCUGGUCCCUGGAAUGGAAAUGCCUCCUCCCCACCAAGGUCUGCCCAAGGUGUACCUCCUCCUGGCCAUUUGUAAAACACUGGGGUACAGCAGGACCUGGAGGGGCUCUCUCACCCAUAAGACAGGUCUCAGCAGAAUCUCCAUGAAACCCCAACCCCCAGAAAGCCUCCAGGUCCCCCAGAAGGUCCCCUCCCCCAAACGUUCACUGUCUUUGUUCACUGUUGCAUAUAACAGCACUAGAGUUCCUUGCCUAAAAUUCAAAUUCCCGAACUCAGAAAAUUAAACAUUUUUUCACCCACAGCUUUGCAGCAACCUCACUGGAUAGCAGACACUGGGCCACACUGACGUGAUGCAAUUUGUGGGACCUGGUGUGACUGUUUGUCUGCUUCUGUAGCAGGGAUGCUAAUCUAUUUCAUUCUGCAUCUGCCCAGACCUGCUAAGGGUGUUCUUGGAAUAUGCAGUGUGUAUAUCGUAUUACUUUUAAAAAAUAUAAAAUAUUCUGAUUUUUGAAGCACAUCCCUUCCCAAAACUUUUCAUUUUUAAAGUUUUAAGUAUUAAAAUAACUCAAGGUAUUUUAACUCACAAUGAAGUGCACAGAUCUUUGCUGUAGAGCUGGUGGGAAGUAGAAUAGUUCCUUUUUAACAUUUCCUUUCUUGUUACAGAAUAAGUGUGCUAAUAACUCUUUGUUAAGCCCUAUCCUAUGUAGCUGUUAAACAUGCCGUGCUUACAGGCACAUAGUACUUUCUGUGUCCUUGUGCUUUAACCAGGAUAUCUGUGCUGGACAUGAUUACAGGCAUGUCCCAGCUCUCCAGCUUUUACCUGUUUAGAAAAGUUUUAAGUUGAGCUGGGUGCGGUGGCUCAAGUCUGUAAUCCCAGCCCUUUGGGAGGCUGAGGCGGGUGGAUCAUGAGGUCAAGAGAUCGAGACCAUCCUCAUCAACAUGGUGAAACCCCGUCUCUACUGAAAAUACAAAAAAGUAGCUGGGCAUGGUGGCGCAUGCCUGUAAUCCCAGCUACUCAGGAGGCUGAGGCAGGAGAAUUGCCUGAACCCAGGAGGCGGAGGUUGCAGUGAGCCAAGAUCGCGCCAUUGCACUCCAGCCUGGGUAACAAGAGCGAAACUCCGUCUCGAGAGAAAAAAAAAGUUUUAAGUUGUUAAUCAGUUGGGUUUUAGUUUAAAUUGUGAGAUCUGGCUCCAGCCAAUGGAGAUCAGACACAGCAGUAAGAACAAUUCCAAAUGUGUAAGGUAUACAUUUGUGUGUUUUCCUUUGUUCCUUGUACUCUUGUGGCAAGAUGGCUAGCAAAGGUACCCUUCCUGCAGUCCAGGACGUAAAAUAAAAACU